CGGGAUUGGGUGUUUGGCGAUACUAUGUUAAUGAAGCUGCCCUGGUGAAUACCACAGACUUGAGGAAAGCUGACAGGAUCCAAGAUACUGGAGAACACUGGAACAAAGAGAACCCAGCCAAUGGAGAGCCCCAGGGUGCAGAGAUGUGAACCCUAUCCUGGUGUCAGUGUCUAUCUAGGACUAACUUCAGAACAUUGAAAGGUGGGCCUGUUACCAGAGAAGUCCGAUGGAAGAGAAGGAACAGAACGUUUACCUAAACCACCAUCUGUGUCUGAGACAACAACUGAGGGAAUCAGACUCCUCUAUCUGGUGAAGCUGUAUUUUAAUUGUAGAUUCUUCUAUUUCUGAAAAUUUCCCAAGAAAAAAUUGUAAUUAUAAAAUCUGAACUUGGAAACAUUGAAAAUCUUAAGAAAUCUUCUAACCCAGUCUUGGUUGCACAGUCUCAGCCAGUACAUUGGCCAAAGUCACUGAAGCAAGGAGUGCAGUGUUCUGGGUUACUUAAUUCUCUACAGGGCUCUGCCAGGUAAGGAACCUUGCAGUGUGGCCCCCUCUGGUGGCAGACAGGAGCCAGUGCAGCCCCAAGAAUGGGUCAGAGUGUCCUGGCGUGGUUCUGGGAGGGCUUUGAGUUCUGUUAGGAAUUUGAACAAACUUACAUAUUUAAGUCCACCGUGCUCUAAGUCUUCUACCUAAAAAACCUGUGGAAUUUAGGAUCAGUGUGGGAUAUCUGAGACUUCUUUAAAAUGUGAAGUCAGGAAACGUGGAGAGAUACACUUAUAUUGGAAAAGUGAGUAUGAAGUAAUGGGUUUGUUAGACCAGAUGAAAUUUAGAGCGCAUUUGUUAGCUGCCACAUACACAUAGAGUCUGUUUGUCUUUCUGUGUCUCUUAUGAUGGUAAGGCUCAAACUGAGAGGGCCUCAUGCAUGCUGACCAACUGCUUUUCCACUGAGCUAUACCCACAGCCCCUGAUGGAUAUCCCUAAGUGAAUAUCAUGUAGUUCACUCUUUAGAAAAAUUUAAAAAAAAAUUUUUUUUUUUUGGUACCAGGGAUCAAACUCACGACCUUGCACUUGUCAGACAGGCACUUAUGCCACUGAGAUGAAUCCCCAGCCUUGUAUUUCACUCUUUUUUUUUUUUUUUUUGUCUUUUUCAUUUUUAUCGGUACCAGGGAUCGAACUCACGACUGCCUGCUUACAAAGCAGGCGCUCAUUGUAUUUCACUCUUUAACACCUUAGCAAUAUCUUCCUACCUUUUUCCUUUGAGAUAAUUCCAUAUUAAAAACAAGGCUUUUCUGACUGCAGAGUACAUAAGGGAAAUGCUUUUUUUCAUUGUCAGACCUUAUGGGAAAUAUUUAUAUUUUAUACAUAUGCACAUACAUAACACAUGUAUGCAAGCAUAUAUUACCUAACAGGCACAAUAAGACAAUAUACAGCCAGGCACAGUGGUGCAUGCCUGGAGCCAUAACUACUCAGUAGGCUCAAGUUAGAGAAUCAUGAGCCCAUGAGUUUGAGAUCAGUCUGAAUAACACAACAAAAACUACUUAAAAAAUACACAGUAUAGUUAUUUGAUAUAUAAAGUUUAUUAAAGUACAGUCACUGUCACAUAUUGUAUGAAUGUUACUCUUUGGUAUCUGUUUUAUCUUGUAAGAGUAAAGGAUAUGGGGCUGGGGAUUUAGCUCAGCGGCAUGAGUGCCUGCCUUGUAAGCAGGCAGUUGUGAGUUCAAUCCCUGGUACCGAUAAAGGAAAAAGACAAAAAAAAAAAAAAAAAAAAAAAAGAGUAAAGGAUACAAUGUCUGCUGCGGUGGCAGUGGUAGUACUAGGGACUGGCCCUGAGCUACAUCUCCUGCCCUUGUCAAUGUUUAUUUUGUGACAAGGUCUUGCAAAGUAACUAAAUUGCCCAGGCUGUGUUCUAAAUUACAGAUCUCCUUACUCAUCCAACUACAGUAUCUGUUUUUUUGGGACUGUGAUCUUAGCAGAAGUGUGGCACAUUUGAAAUGAAAACAGGCAUAUAUGGACAUACCCCCAAAGUACGAGCUCAGUGGUCUAGAAAGACUAGGCAAAUUCAAAUCAAACCCAUUCUGGUAAGUACUAGUUUUGGGAAUUUCAGGUGUUCUUUUUUGUUGUUGUUGUUCAGUCACCAAGAGCAUGCACCUGCAAGUUUUCUGCUGAGUUCAUCGGGAACGCAGCAGCAAAGGCUGUUGUAGGGGAUAACUAACUGGAAUGCCUUUCCUGUUCUGUCAUCAGGUCUCCCUUCCCCUCCCCAUCAGGCCAAACAGGGCAAGCUAAGGAAGAUGCAGCUGUGCAGAGGCAACUGUUAUUACAGUGUGAGGCAGACUGUGUCACACAUCGGUCACACAGUGAUAGGGUGACAGCUUUGUUUCCAGUUUCACAGUAACCAUUCAAGGUUGUUUCCUCUUGUGUGCAGCGGAGGUGAAAGAAAAGGCCGAGAAGGCAGCUAGUGGGGAGCUCCCAGUCCUUCCUUGGCACCCUCAGAGCAGUUUGACUUUGGAGAGUGAGGCUGUCUGCAGGUCUGGUCCCUUGUUGCGGCCCCCUGCUAGGGGCCCUGAAGCAAUGGGCUGGCAGCAAGGUGUAGAGUUUCACAGGGAGAAGGAGGAGACAGGAGGAUAUGAUGUCAGCUGGGCGAAAGUGGACAGCUAUGGUCAGGACAGUCACGGUGAGAAAUGUGGCAGACAGCCUGGGCCACAAAGCUUUGCUGGUCUCCUGGAGAAGCUGUGGUCCUCACAUUGAGCAUUGCUUCCUGGCUCCGGAGAAGAAGCCGUGUGCUGCUUGGUCUCCAGGAUGAACUCAUCACGCUGGCUUCCUGGCACGUACCCUACUGUGCUUGUCGUUGGAGGAGCUCGGGGCCUCCGUGUCACUGAGGAUUGCUGUGGCACCUUUCAGGACAGCCCUGGUCUUUGUUGUGUGACUUCUCAGCUCCAGCAUAGAACCCUAAUCCCACCAGCACAGCUCCUUCACCCCGCUGGCAUGGACUUUCUGGCUUUCCAGCACGGAUCCAUAAAAGAGACUGGCGUGAGUCCUUCUUGUGGCCUCUGGACCUCCAGUUGGACUCGUGGGAGGCAUUGUCAUGAGCUCUGGGUUUUCAUCUGAACUCAUGUGGGACAUUGCUAUGGGAUUUAGGCCCUUGACUAAAUAUUCUGUGUCUUUGGUGUUGCGGAUAGAUUUCCUGCACUUUCUUGUGUUAACUCUGGGUGACCAUCAUAAAGCAAUAUUAUAAACUCCA